rnacentral:rRNA from 1 species
AAACUUUACAAUGCGGGAAACCGUGAUAAGGGAACCCCGAGUGCCCGUAAAAUCGGGCUGUUCACCAGUGUAAAUAGCUGGUGGAGAAAGGGCCGGGCAAGACCGGUGCCAGCCGCCGCGGUAAUACCGGCGGCUCGAGUGGUGGCCGCUAUUACUGGGCUUAAAGCGUUCGUAGCUGGAUUGUUAAGUCUCUGGGGAAAUCUUCCGGCUUAACCGGAAGGCGUCUCAGGGAUACUGGCAAUCUAGGGACCGGAAGAGGUGAGAGGUACUCCAGGGGUAGGAGUGAAAUCCUGUAAUCCUUGGGGGACCACCUGUGGCGAAGGCGUCUCACCAGGACGGCUCCGACAGUGAGGGACGAAAGCUGGGGGAGCAAACCGG